rfam:Nasonia vitripennis chromosome 1, whole genome shotgun sequence.
AUACUUACCUGGCGCAGAGGCUAACCGUGAUCAAAAAGGCGGUUCCUCCAGGGCGAGGCUCUUCCAUUGCACUAUUCGGUCGAGCUGACCCUUGCGAAUAUCCCUAAUGUGGAUAUAUCGAGCGUAUAAUUUUUGGUAGUAGGGACUGCGUUCGCGCUGUCCCUAA